AUUAUAAUACUAAACUAACAUAUUUACAUAUAUGGUGGUUUUGUGGGCAAUAAAAGAAAUCAAACAGUGCAUUAAUUUUAUAUGAAUACGUGCAUGAAGGAGGCUUAUUCUACGUGUCUAAAUUUGAAACAUAAAUUCUAUGUUGAUACGUGACUAGGGGCAAGCGGUAGCCUCCAAGUAAAACUCUAGUAUAAAUAGAAGUUCAAGGCUUCAGCUUCAAACUGCUUAAACCUUUCCUCUAUGUUGCUCUCUCACACUAUAUUCUUUUUGGUUUAGUAAUUCACCCCUAAAUCCUACAAAGCCCUGCCCUAUUUUAAGUAUUGUAACCCCCGAUCACCGAUACCCUGUCCGACUGACGUAGGGCCCCGUAACGUAUGGCAAGGCUCUGCCUAAAUUCGUUGGGGUUCUGUCUCGUGACGUAGGGAUAACAUGAAAUUGGAUUACCAUACUUAAUGUGAGUGCACUAUAUAUUUUAUUAAAUAACCCAGGAGUGAUACCCGAAAUAUAACAACUCUCCAAAAACACCUCUGAUACCCUACACUUCCUAAAAUACACCCCGUAUGUGAAAACCGAGCCCGGAAUACAAUAUAGCAUUUAAAAUAAAUUAAAAACAAGAAAAUAUAAGUUUACGCGGGCCGCGUAAAGAUCCUCGCUUAGUUAACGCGGGCCGCGAGAGGUUAGAAAGGUGGCGCAGCCCUGGGCCGCCACGUGGCAACACCCGUCAAGCCUAUACCUCAACUCAGCAUAGCUAUACGUUGACUUUGGGUCAACGCGGGCCGCGUAAGACCUGUUCUUAUUUGACGCGGGCCGCGAGAGAGUUCAGUAUCAGCCCUAUAAAUUGGAUCGUCGAGCCUUCAGUCCGAUCGUUCAUUUCUUUCUUUCUCUCUCUUAAUUUCUGAGUAGUAGAAGUAAUACCCGGGUAUAAUGCCCCCCUAAUUAGCGAAGCUCUGCCUCGUUACUAUAACCAGGGAAUCACAAAGGAAAGCCCUAUAAUAGCAAUGUAACUUAGUGUGAAGCCAAUAAAAGCCAGCUGGAGAGCACUGAAGGCUUGGGAAAGUGGCAAUAAAGUUACCUAAAAUAAAAUAGAUGUUUUUAUUAAACAAAAUAGGAUUUAUUCCUAUGAAAAUGUGUGUACUACAAACUUGGGUUUUACCCAUGUGUUUAAUAUUAUGAAAAUAUGGUGGUUUUACUCUGAUAAAAAUAUUUCCUAACUACGGUCCUGAUGAAAAAUUCCGCUGCCAAAUUAGACAAUACACGAUACCACCGAAACUGGCUCACGGCCGCUCGUUCCUGAGGGGUCGGGGGUUGUGACAGAAGGUGGUAUCAGAGCUAUGCCACUGGUUCAAGCCAAAGAAGUGUUCUGCUGACACUUAAGUUUUAAAUUCUGUGUUAGGAAAUUAAUAUAACAAUUUAUGUGUUAUUCUGUGUAGAUAAAUCUUAAUAUUUAUAUUAUGGUUUUUAUGUUUUGGAGUUCAGAGUAUGAGUAACCAAUAUGACUAGAC